rnacentral:rRNA from 1 species
CUAACACAUGCAAGUCGAACGGUAACAGGAAGCAGCUUGCUGCUUCGCUGACGAGUGGCGGACGGGUGAGUAAUGUCUGGGAAGCUGCCUGAUGGAGGGGGAUAACUACUGGAAACGGUAGCUAAUACCGCAUAAUGUCGCAAGACCAAAGAGGGGGACCUUCGGGCCUCUUGCCAUCGGAUGUGCCCAGAUGGGAUUAGCUUGUUGGUGGGGUAACGGCUCACCAAGGCGACGAUCCCUAGCUGGUCUGAGAGGAUGACCAGCCACACUGGAACUGAGACACGGUCCAGACUCCUACGGGAGGCAGCAGUGGGGAAUAUUGCACAAUGGGCGCAAGCCUGAUGCAGCCAUGCCGCGUGUAUGAAGAAGGCCUUCGGGUUGUAAAGUACUUUCAGCGGGGAGGAAGGGAGUAAAGUUAAUACCUUUGCUCAUUGACGUUACCCGCAGAAGAAGCACCGGCUAACUCCGUGCCAGCAGCCGCGGUAAUACGGAGGGUGCAAGCGUUAAUCGGAAUUACUGGGCGUAAAGCGCACGCAGGCGGUUUGUUAAGUCAGAUGUGAAAUCCCCGGGCUCAACCUGGGAACUGCAUCUGAUACUGGCAAGCUUGAGUCUCGUAGAGGGGGGUAGAAUUCCAGGUGUAGCGGUGAAAUGCGUAGAGAUCUG